UAUACCUCUUUGUUAAUUGCAAAGGCACACUAUAAAAAUAUUGUUAUUUACAGAUUUGUUGUUUUGCAGGGACCCUGGGCGUUCUAUGAGGACUUCAUCCCAAAUUUUGGACGGCUAGGAUCUUCAAAUGUGAUUAGGUUUCUACCUUUGAGCAGGGAUUGAAGCAGAAUUUCCAUGGCAAGAGGAAACAAAAUUCAAUCACAACUCUGAAUUUUCAAAGUGCACCACCUUAUUUCUAUUUGGGGUUUACCUACUUUGCCCCUGACACCUGUACGUCUCCUAUGAGCUAUUAAAGAGUUGGAUAGACAGAGUGACACUGUCUUUGUUUCGUCGUUCACACCGACGGGAAGCGAAUGAGAAACAGACAAUCUAUGCUGGAUCUGCUUAGAAGACAAAGGAAUUAGAACAGAAAGGUCAGAGUUUGCUGGGUUCAUCUUCAAUACCUGUCGAUCGCAACCAUACCAAGUUUUUGGUGCAGGCAUAUACCAAUUUCUUUCAAUAAAAAGAAGAAAUAGACAUUGCAGCCUGGUUUUGGCUUCAGUGGGGAUCCCAUCAUUACAACUCAUGCAAGCAAGUUAAUGCUGUUGAAAUCAAAUUCACACCAUCCAGAAUAUUACAUACUAGCAAGUAACAGAAGUUGCAGUUUGUCUCUUUCCUCAUCAAAAGUGAAGUUGAAGGCAUAUGCUGAUCGAGCUUCAUGAGCAAGAAGCAGUCGAACAGACGUUCCAUAAUUAAAAGCAACUUCUUCAAAUGCAAGCAACUAAUGCAACAGUGACCUCACUCUUUUAGGCGGAAAUAGGAUUCCUCUGAUCACUAUUAGAGGCAAGAAAUCUGCAAGGAUAAAUAUACCUCCUCUGUGCUCCAUAGCUCAGCUUCUUCUUUUGGUAAAUAUUGAUGUAUUCUUUUUAAUUAUAAGUCAUCCUCGCUUGCAGAGAGAACAGUUGUAGUUUUAUUUUUCUACUAUAAAAUACCAGUUUUUGUAAUAUGUAAAAUCAAAACAGUUUCAAUUAACAGUUUUUACCUUACAAUUGUGACCAUUACGAAUAAAUUAGAGAGAAGAAAAAACAAAC